AAGUUGAAGUAUCAGCCAACUGGUUUGCUGACAAGAGCUGAAAGGCCUACUGUUCAUACUAAAUUAACCACUAAGGCUUCCAAUGAUGUGUUUAGGUGUGCUCAGCAGUCACUUGGAGUACUCAUGAGUACCAAUACAGAUUUUUUUGUACCAAGCUGCUUCUGGGGGAUGCAACAUAGAAAAAGAGGUUAGUGAUUUCCAGAAAAGUCAUAAAAUUUUAAGUACC
rnacentral:lncRNA from 1 species